AUGGAUUUUCUUCCGACCGCCUCCACCCCCCGUGACACGGACGAUGCCGAGGUGGGAUCCCGGGAAGGGACCCGCCAGGAGGAGGAGGCCCCGGAGGUGUCGCAGGACAACCUCCCGGACUUUGCACCAGACUCGGCUCCGGAUCCCAUAGUGGCUCCGGAGUCCGGCGGGCGGCCCCUUCGUAAGAAGGGCAAGACCAUGACACCGGCAGCCUCCGUCCAACCGGAGGCGCCGGAUAGCUUGCUGGAGGCACUCAAUGGCGCCUCCAUCGAAGAGGAACACCACACUGUUAUGAGUGCGGUGAUUCAGAAGGUGCAGCUCGCCAAGAGCGGGCUGACCGAAGCCUGCAGCAUCCUUCUAACAGGCUUUGAGGCUGUGCUGCUGACCUCUGUCGCACUGACUGCGGAGGUCAAUACUUUGAAGGAAAGCCUCGAGCGGUCCGAGAACGAGCUCGGCCAUGCCAAGAAGCAGCUCGAGGACAAGGAAGGGGCCACUAACGAGGUGGCUACCCUGAAAGAGGCGGUGGCCACAGCCGAACGUAAUGCGGCCGCGGAGUGCACCGAGCGAGAGAAGCAGGAGGCGCGGGUGGCGGAGGUACAGCAAGAGCUCCAGGAUCUCGUGAAAAAACAUGAGAGCCUAGAGCGUGACUCGAAGACUCGAGAGUCUGAGCUUGCAACGACUCUUGAGAGUGCCAAAGCCGCUAAGGCCGAAGCCUACAAGGCCCUCCAAGAAAUUGAGGCGUUGAAGAAAAUAGCAGCGGGUAAGGCAUUUUUCAUGCAAAGAAAGCAUGUGAGUGUUAAUUACCUGUUGCUUACCCGAAUUCGGAGAUCUCCAAGAGCGUUCGCAGAUCUUCCUCGCAGCAUGUCCGAUGCUGCCGUGUUCUACCGGCCUGAGGAGGGGAAAUCGACGGAGAAGGUCUUCUGGUCUCAGUAUGCUAAGGCCGGACAUCCGGUGCCCCUUAGCGACCAGCUGAAGCAGCUGGUCGAGCUCCACAAGGCGGCCGAACAGGCCGUGAAGGGCCUCAUAGUUCGGCUGUGGCCUAAGGAGGCCAUGCCUGGGCGCUACUUCGGCCUGGUGCAGCGGCUGCUGGAUGCGUGCCCGUGGGUUGAAGUCAUCAAGCACUCCGCCUGUAUUGAAGGUGCCCGUCGGGCCCUUGCCCGCGCAAAGGUGCACUGGGGCAAGAUGGAUGCCCAGAAGCUCGUGACGGACCCGCCACCGCAGGGCAGGGAGCAUCGCACGCCCGAGAUGUAUUAUAAGAGUGUGCUGAAGGGCGCCCGCUCUAUUGCGGGUGAGUGCUCCAAAGAUGUAAUAUUUGAGUAG
rnacentral:rRNA from 1 species